AAAUUGUUGUCAAAAUUGAAACAAUCCUUGCUGUAAAGCUUUCACGAUAUGUGAUUUUAACAGGCCUGGCUAACUGGGUAGUAGAUGUCGUUAUCGCCACUACCUCAUCAAGGUACUUACAAGAGCCGGAAUCACCGUUAUCGUUUAGGCACCUUUUUUGUGUGUUAUUUUAGUAUACUACAACUUUUUUUAUUGACUAUUAUUUUUUAUUAAAUAAAACAUUAAAAUAAACUUCAAAAGUGUACUAAUAUGAUAGAAAAACCCGAUCCCCAAAAAA